GAAAUGCGAUAAGUAAUGUGAAUUGCAGAAUUCAGUGAAUCAUCGAAUCUUUGAACGCACAUUGCGCCCGCCAGCACUCUGGCGGGCAUGCCUGUUCGAGCGUCAUUUCAACCCUCAGAACCCCUUGCGGGAUCUGGCGUUGGGGAUUGGCAUCCAGCCAGCCCCGAAAUCUAGUGGCGGUCCCUCCGCGACCUCCCCUGUGCAGUAGCGAUACCUCGCAGCGGGACAGCGGUCUGACCACGCCGUAAAACCCCCAACUUCUCAAGGUUGACCUCGAAUCAGGUAGGAAUACGCGCUGAAGUUAAGC
rnacentral:misc_RNA from 1 species